GACGAACGCUGGCGGCGUGCUUAACACAUGCAAGUCGAACGGAAAGGCCCUGCUUUUGUGGGGUGCUCGAGUGGCGAACGGGUGAGUAACACGUGAGUAACCUGCCCUUGACUUUGGGAUAACUUCAGGAAACUGGGGCUAAUACCGGAUAGGAGCUCCUGCUGCAUGGUGGGGGUUGGAAAGUUUCGGCGGUUGGGGAUGGACUCGCGGCUUAUCAGCUUGUUGGUGGGGUAGUGGCUUACCAAGGCUUUGACGGGUAGCCGGCCUGAGAGGGUGACCGGCCACAUUGGGACGGAGAUACGGCCCAGACUCCUACGGGAGGCAGCAGUGGGGAAUAUUGCACAAUGGGCGGAAGCCUGGUGCGGCAACGCCGCGUGCGGGAUGACGGCCUUCGGGUUGUAAACCGCUUUCGCCUGUGACGAAGCGUGAGUGACGGUAAUGGGUAAAGAAGCACCGGCUAACUACGUG
rnacentral:rRNA from 1 species